rnacentral:lncRNA from 1 species
GUGAGCUUGUUCUGGGUGUUCAUCUGAUUCAUAGGAGGCCGAAAAUAACGAUGGUAGUUUCGCUGGUAACACCCCCAUUUUCUAUGGAGGCGUUCCAUUAGUAUCUCUCCAUACAUGAGUCGCCUAAAUCAAUACGUGUCUUUUGAAUGUGCAUUUUGUUUACAUGUUUUGAUACUUUUCCUCAUUGUUCUUGUUCUUGUUUUUAUUUUCAUUUUAUACACUCAUUUUGCAAUAUUUUUCUUUCUUUAUUGUGGCAGAUAUAUUUUUGUAGCUUUAUUACUUGUAUAGGAAGCGGUCCAACUACAAAACUUCUUUUUGAUCAUAUUUUUGAUUGUGCCUUCAUAAUCCCAGGUGAGCUUGUUCUGGGUGUUCAUCUGAUUCAUAGGAGGCCAAAACUAACAAUGGUAGUUUCGCUGGUAACACCGCCAUUUUCUAUGGAGGCGUUCCAUUAGUAUCUCUCCAUACAUGA